UGAAGUAAGAGGGAUAGCAGUAACAGACGAGCACAGCUUGAGCCUCACGCAGGGGUAGCAGGAGUUAGAUGAGCACUUGUCAUGCUGGACCAUACCAAGAGUACUUCCUUAGAGUUUGCAAAAUGAGUCUCGCACGCAGACGAUGGGGGAAACACAGGGUUUUAAUGACACUUACAGCAUCCCAAAGGACCAUUCAAAGCAACAAAAAACCCUGGUGAUGUCCUUAAAGACAGCAGAUGGUUUCUUCAAGGACAAUGAAACACCAUUGGGAAGCUUUCCUUUUCCAAGAUAUUUCAAAGUUUCCAGAUCUGGCCAGAAAAAAUAGUAUAUAGUGCAAUAACACCUGGAAAGUGUCCUUAAUUAUCCUGUAAGCUUGUGUUCAAAAUGUCAUCAGUACUGAAGAAUUUAAUGCAUCCAUAUUUGGCCAAACCUUCCACUCCAUUUUCAGGGUUGGGUGAGUUUUUAUUUUUCGUCUUCAUAUUCAUAUUCUCCCUUCAAUUCCUGUCCAACAGAUAUCUGUCACUUCUCCAAGGAAGUAUUAUCUCCCAAUAGAAAUUCAAGCAUGACCUUUUCCACGGGUAAAAAACUUACCGCUCACCAGUGCAAACUGUUUUGAGACUGUACCUCCCUGAUGCUCUGUCUAAAGUAGUCUGCUGCCAAUGGCUUUAACCAAUUUGUUCUGAUUCUGCAGUCAGAUUUGAAGCCUGUAAAGCAGGCACGUCCUUUUGAAGAAAAAAAAUACUCUCUGAAGGUAGAAGAAAGAAAGUAUCUGUUUAUAACUUUUUUUGUUUGGGUUUUUCUUUUUUAAAAAGAGUUACUUCUAGAAGGAUGGUGAAAAGGUCACAGCGGAAUUACAGGAGAAAGUGCCCAUAGAUCAGCCGUACAAGCUGCUUUCAAAGCAAGUUUUCAGGACAAAAAGAUAAAACAUAAUCAAAGACAACAACUUCUUUUCCUUUUACCUAAAAGGCCAUGUGAAAUCUCAGCCUUGAGAAGGAUGGAGGGAGACGCAGCCUCAGACCAGGCAGAGCUUCACUCAUCAGCUCUCUGCAUCAGCUCAGGUGCCAUGUGGCUCCCGACGCCUCGCCUCUACGGUCAGAGCAAUGCACCUUAGGAGAAUAAGUGUAUUAUUUCUUAUGUUUGUUUAUUUUUUUUAAAUAAAAUCCCUCAGGGAGCCCAUCCUACACGGGUGUGAGAGGCCACCGCAAAAAUUUAGUCUUAUCUCUUUUUUUUGUUUGUUUGUUUUCUGAUGCAAAGAUAAGAGCUUCUCUUGGAGCAGAAAGUCUGGGGAAAAUUAAUGGGCAUGUGCUGAGAGAAACCUGUGAGACAUUAAAUGAAAAAGAAGCAGCAGGAAGGCAGAGAAAACAUGGGCUCUGGGGUUAUUGCUUUCAUUUUUACCACUUAUGCAGGAGGCCUGGAGUAGGGGGUUAGCAGCUGGAAAUGAGUGAAGCAGAAGGCAGCCCUAUACAGCUUGCUAGUGAAAAUUAGUUGGGGAAACACUCUGUUAAAUCCAAUAAGCAUACACAUGAAAUCUAACCCAGAAGUACUUCACUGUAAGAGUUAUGUGCAAAUUAAAUGAUAGCAAAGAGAGGGAACUUCGUACUCAAAGAGACAUCAUCAGGAAUGGUCGACUUCCCUCGGCACAGCCAGAGCCGGGCUCGCCAUGCUGCUGCUGCCGGAGGGGCUUGGGCUUUAGUUCAGAUGAAUCCUGUCCUGCCUUUGUCUCCCAGGGCUGCGGUCACAUAUCACAGGGGAGGGGAGGCAGCAGCUCUGCACUGUGAGAUUUAAACACUGGUCCCCAGCCGACCUGCUAAGCCCGAGCUCCCUUCACCUGAGCACAUAUAUAGUCUGAAAAAGCACACUUUGCCUUUACCGCCUAUAAACCAUUAAAGCUAUUUUCCUAAUUGGCUUACAACUGUUGUAAUGUAAGAGUUUUAACACUGUGAAUAACGAUUGCAUUAUGAUUAGAUAAGCAGUUUAA